rnacentral:rRNA from 1 species
UACGGAGGGUGCGAGCGUUGUCCGGAAUCAUUGGGCGUAAAGGGCGCGUAGGCGGUCCGAUAAGUCAGGGGUGAAAUCCUGCAGCUUAACUGCAGAAGUGCCUCUGAUACUGUCGGUCUGGAGGGAGAUAGGGGUGUGCGGAACUUCCAGUGGAGCGGUGAAAUGCGUUGAUAUUGGAAGGAACGCCGGAGGCGAAAGCGGCGCACUGGAUCUCUUCUGACGCUGAGGCGCGAAAGCUAGGGGAGCAAACGGG